AACGAACGCUGGCGGCAUGCCUAACACAUGCAAGUCGAACGAGACCUUCGGGUCUAGGGGCGCACGGGUGCGUAACGCGAGGGAACCUGCCCUUAGGUUCGGAAUAACUCCCCGACAGGGGUGCUAAUACCGGAUAAUGUCUUCGGACCAAAGAUUUAUCGCCUUUGGAUGGGCCCGCGUUGGAUUAGCUAGUUGGUAGGGUAAAAGCCUCCCAAGGCGACGAUCCAUAGCUGGUCUGAGAGGAUGAUCAGCCACACUGGGACUGGGACACGGCCCAGACUCCUACGGGAGGCAGCAGUGGGGAAUAUUGGACAAUGGGCGAAAGCCUGAUCCAGCAAUGCCGCGUGAGUGAUGAAGGCCUUAGGGUUGUAAAGCUCUUUUACCCGGGAUGAUAAUGACAGUACCGGGAGAAUAAGCUCCGGCUAACUCCGUG
rnacentral:rRNA from 1 species